rnacentral:rRNA from 1 species
AGGACGAACGCUGGCGGCGUGCUUAACACAUGCAAGUCGAGCGGUAAGGCCCUUCGGGGUACACGAGCGGCGAACGGGUGAGUAACACGUGGGUGACCUGCCCCCUACUCUGGGAUAAGCCUGGGAAACUGGGUCUAAUACCGGAUAUGACCUGCGAUUGCAUGAUUGUGGGUGGAAAGUGGUGUUUUCGGACACUGUCGGUGGGGGAUGGGCCCGCGGCCUAUCAGCUUGUUGGUGGGUGAUGGCCUACCAAGGCGACGACGGGUA